CCCAAAGCAGUGUAUUUUGCAUUUGACUGGUCAUUGAGAUGAAAUAAGCAGCUGUAUGUGGUGGUUUUGGCGUGUGAAAACAUUGUGGUGUGGCGUCUCGGGAAAUUUUCCGUGUGACAUUUUGGGAAUGACUCAUGAGCAUUCCACUGCGAAAUCCUAAAUCAUCGGUGUCGCAUCAUCGUUUUAUCGUGUUUUAAUGCCAUAAUUCUCACGCCAAGACCAGCAUCCACAGAUUUGACCAGUUAUAUUGUCGCUAUUAUUUGCGUAAAAGCUGCAAUUGACUUUUUUUCUCGCCAUUGUACUACGCAAUGGAUGGAAGCGUGUGCAAAAAUGGCGACCGAGGCGGCGAAGCUCUCUCUUCUCUUCUCUCUCACUCUGGCAAUUCUGUCCGGGUAGCAAAAUUCACACGCUCAGCAAAAUUUUCCUAUCACUUUGCCCGGUUGGUUCUCUUGCAAUUCUUGCGCUAAUAUUAUUUCAGUGAACUUUUUCGGAUUGCAAUAAAUGCUGGAAUAUCAUUUAUUAAUGAAUUUUGUCAUGGUAAGAUUUCCCUUCACCGCCUUCUAAGAAUGAGGUUGUGUGGUCAAUGAAAGGCGCAAAUGAAGCAAGGUGAAAAAGAAACCGAUAAACUUUCGCGCUAAAAUAUCGCGUAUAAUAAUAUUCUCAGUCAACAGAAAUGAGUAAUCGUGAAUUUCUGAAAAUGUGUGAAAAAGCAUAAUUUUGUCUAACAAUUUUCUUGAAGUUCUUCCCCCCCCACGCCAAAGGAUGGAGAUUUUAUAUUGGCUUUUCCAGACACACAGACUUUUUAUUGAUUGUUUCUUUUUAGUAUUUAGCAUUUAGAAGGGAGAGAGAGAGUGUAUUUUGGACGGAAGCAGUAGAGUUGUUUGUUGUUUCGGGCGAAAGUAAUCAUCACAGUUGACUAUCAGUUGGGUCUUUUUUUUAUCAGAAAUUGAUAAAAGACAGAAUUGACAAAGAGGCGAAGGAUUUUCCUUAUCAACACUUACGAUGAGUGUAAUCAUUCAAGUUAUUGAUCAUGCUCUCUCCAGAUGGUUUGUAUUUGUCCACUUUUUGUACGAUUUCACCAUAAACUUGACGUUAGUUUUUAAGUAAAGUUCAUACACAUUUUGUCACAUAAGCGAAGGGAUCAAUUCUCAAGAAAUCGGGUUAAGUUUUUUCUACCUGGCUUCUGCUAUUAAGCUGCAGACGAGAGAGUAAUUAAUGCGAGGCGUCAGACGAAAUUGAUAUGAGCCCUUUAGCAAGAGGAGAGUUCCUGAGAAUUGAUUUCUGAUUGUUCAGAAAUACACGAUCUUUCACAAACUGAUGAGCAAUAAUAGUUGUGUCUGAGAGAGAGAAGAUUAGUUUCAAAUUGCCAACCUCGAGAGUUAUUGCCGCUUCGUUCUAUUUAAUUGUUAGUCAAGGGAGAGAGAUAAAAGUCUAAGGAAAUUAACAAUUUGUUCUACAGCUCGAUUGAUUGAUUGUUUGAGAAAAUAAUAUGUAUAGCGAUAAUCAGAAUUUUAUGGUAAACAUAAAAAAAAGGAUUUGGUGUUAAAGAAUUUCUUUGAAUUCAGGAAAAAAGUGUUGUGAAAUGGUGAAUAUAUCUUUGUUUUUAGCGAAGAUAAAGUUUGUCUUGAUCAAAAUUCUGGUAUUUUUUCAUCAAUUAUUGUUUUUUUUAUUUUAUCCUUUGCUAUAUAAUUAUUGUGUCACAUUGAAUAAUGUUUUUUCUUCCUAACAGAACCAAACAAAAAAAAAUGUGUGUAUCUUUUUUGUAGCGAAAUUUUUCAGAUUAUUCCCCAAUUGCAUUUUCCCUCGUGUCGCAAAAAUUGAACGCAUAGUUUGUCCGUAUCGUAGAGAGUUUUCAUCAGCGGUUUGUGACAUUGGCUAAAGACGAAGAGAGAAGCGUUGUUUGACGAGAAUUAAAGAAAGAAUGAAAAAAAAAAUGGUCGGAAGCGAAAAUUUGUCAUCGUCGUUAAACAUUUUGCAAAAUGAUCACGAAAAUAUAAGUAUGAAAAGUUGUGUAAAAUACUUUUUUGUCUUGUAAGAAUUUUUAACAUUAAUCUUUGUAAUUUACUAUAUAAUGUGUUCUUUUCUCCUAGUGUUUGCCACACUGUUUUAUUGUAGAUACAUAUAAAAGACAUCGUGGAUUUGCAUUAAGAGUAAUCGAAAGAAUGAAAUCUUCUCAUAUAAUGAACGUGUUGAGUAAAUCAUCAAAAGUAAUCGAUGAGAUGCAGUUGAGUGCAAUUGAGUUCCUCUUUAAUCGUCGGCGCACCCGCACGCACGCACGCAAUUUUGUGGUAAAUUGAUGCCUUGAUGAAAGAGCGCAGAGUGGCAAAUUUUUGACCAAAAUCACGGGGAAUCGAGUUGCAAAUUUGUAAGACCAAAAUGAGCAAAAUGCGAGAUGCAGACACUUGACGGUGUCUCAAUCGCGAUUUUGAUUGACUUCUGUAGGGAAUCCUUUUCCACCUCUUCUGUGAUAUUUGGCCCAGUUGAAUAGAGCGAACUAACCUUGUUCCUCUCCGGCAGGUGUGUUGUUGAGUGAUGAGAGUGAUGAUGAAGAUGAAUCCCAACUGGAGUUGUGUCUCCUCAUCUCUAAAGCCGGAGAAAAUUCCCCGACAACCAGAUGAAACCCGAUGGUAUUUAUCACACACACACAAAAUCUCAACCAAAAAAAAAAAUCUCAAAUCAAAUUCAAUCAAAAGAAAAAUGCCCAAAAAUUGAAUGGAUGGAAAUUUCGCACACAAUGAAAAGUUGAAACGAAAAAAAAAAAUACAAAUCAAAUUGAGAAGAUUUUCUUGUAUAUAGAAGCAUUGCCAGAUAUCAGAUUCAAUGCCAGAGGAUCAGAGCCCAAGAGCAAAAGAAAAGCCAAGAGAUGAAAAUUUGCCAAUAAAAAGAUGUGAUGCCCAAAAUCCGGAAAUGGACAGAUUGAUGUUGCUGAAAAAGUGGAGAAAUGGCCACAAAGAUUGUUGUUGAGCUGCGCUGGCUUUUGCUGUUCCUUCACAUGAGAGUUGUCUAUCUUUUCUCACUUUAUUGCUGUCUUGUUGUCGUUAUUGAUUCUCUUACAUUUACUUCCCUAUCUUCUUAACGUAAAUCCGGAACAGCUGAGAAGAUGUUUUUCACUUAUUAUCUGUUGUUGUUGCUUUUUGGGUGAUGUUUUUCGCCAGCCAGUGUUUGAGAAAUUGUUCAAUUUUGAGAUGUGAGUCCCUUAAACUGCAAGAGGCAAAAAGACAAAAGAAAAAAAAAAUGGCAAAAAGCAAAAAUCUUCAUCAAUUUAUCAGCGGACGUUGCAUAUUUCAAAGUGAAAUUUGUGAGCUUGUUUUUAUUGCAGACGAGAUUGUGAUUUGCCUAGUGAGCGAGUUUUCCAGUUCAAAAUGUCGAAAUUGACAUUCGCACAGACAGAAAAAGUCAAAAGAGCCCAAAUUGAUAUGCAAUUUUCAUCAAUUGACAAAGCGUAAUUCUCUCUUUGCCAUGGAUAUUGAGUGCAAAAAAGCGAGACAAGACACAAAAUAUAUUGUUGUUUGUGAAGUAAUUGUAAGAAGUAUUGUUUCUAUACCUCAUUCUUGGUGAUGAUAAAUAAAAAAAAUGUUGAAUAAUUUUUUUUCUAGAAUGUUUAAUGUAAAAUUUUGUUCUCCACGCGUCAGAAAUACAGAAAAGACUACAAAUAAUCGUUUUUCUUUCAUAUUUGAUAAAAUAAGUAAUUGUUAAGUAAUAUUAAUGAAAUUUUAUCUUCUACCUUAUAAAUAAGUACAUAUUUGGAAAUAUUUGAAAAGUUGCCUUUGAAAUACUAUGUCAAUACUGCUAAAUCUCUUAUUUUUUUCUUUUCUAGAUA